GCAGCCAGGGAGAGGCCACCCCAGCAGAAUGAAAUCCAUAAUUUAAAUAAAGAGAAGAGGCUCAGAAUCGACUCCUGUAUGAGUUUGUUCCUCCAGACGACCUGCUGCAGAACAGAAUCCCAAUGAUGACUACUUCCUGAUGCCCUCAGAACUGUUGGCUUUGCUGCCCCUCGGGGCAGAUCUGGAGCUCUAAGGGGGACACUCAGAGUUAUUUUUCUGUCCAUUUUCCUGCCUUCUGUGCAUCCUCUUUGGAGCCCUUCCAGUGAUGAGAGACCAAUAAGCUGUGCCCUCUAGGUGAGAAAAAUAGGGGCUGGAAUUCAAACCUAUAGAGCAUUUCCAAAUGUUUUCUCUGCUAUCAGGAUAUUCUGCAAAUGCCAUUUCCUAGCUACACUUAGAAGCUAAGUCCAGGCCUUGUGCUUAGCUGAACUGCUGUUUGAGGAAACAUGGCUGAGAAGUUAUUUUGCUCAAAUCAUAAUAAUAAAAAUCAGCGUGUUUUGCCAA